rnacentral:rRNA from 1 species
CAAUAGCGUAUAUUAAAGUUGUUGCAGUUAAAAAGCUCGUAGUUGGAUUUCUGGUCGGAAGCUCCUGACCUCUGAUGAGCGUACAAGUGCGUCCUACCAUCCUUCUGUUAACCUUUAAGGCUUUCGCGGCUUUCUAGGGGCUCAGAUAUUUUACCUUGAGAAAAUUAGAGUGUUUCAGGCAGGCUAGCGCCGGAAUACAUUAGCAUGGAAUAAUGGAAUAGGACUUUUGCCUCUUCUGUUGGUCAUGAGGCUCGAGUAAUGAUUAAUAGGGAUAGUUGGGGGCAUUAGUACUUAACUGUCAGAGGUGAAAUUCUCGGAUUUGUUAAAGACUAACUUAUGCGAAAGCAUUUGCCAAGGAUGUUUUCAUUAA